GAGAAUCAGCAAACUACAUCAGUCCCUGUA
rnacentral:piRNA from 1 species